GGGGGGGGGGGACACAAAAUAAAAGGUUAGAAUCUAAAUCAGAGAAAACUGCUUUUAGAAGCGAAAAAUGUAAUUAAUUAUGUAGCCUAAAAACAAAGCAGAUGGCGAGAGAGAAGGCUCUGGCAACUCCUAAAGCCGUUUGUCCUGGGCAGACCUUUGCACUGUGACAGCUUGCUUACUCUCAUUACAAGUCCCGUGACUUCAGUUGGCUCUCCUGCCUUCAGAUGCAGUGCUUUGUAUUGAAUAUAGCCAAAUUCUGCUUUACGGGGAACUUGGUUGUUGUCGUUUAAGCUUUGGGUACAAUUAUAUUUCACAUUUCCAGGUGAUUUCCAUCAUGCUGUUCAGAAAGAAAGGCCUUAAAAUUGGCCUUUUGUAUUUUGCAGUGAGAUGGACUAAAUUGAACAUAAUAUACCAAGCUGUGAUCUGGCAUGUAAGAAACUGAUUUGGUCAUUUUCAAGAUGCCCUUCGUAAAAGGUCAUCAUAGUGGAUUGGAGACUAGUUUCCGGCCUCAUUUUAAGGUUUCAUUUAUAAAUGUUCCUACUUAAAUCCUCCUUAGCAGACAAUUGGCUGGUAAAAUCAUUUUCUGUUAAUGAAGACAGUGGUUUUUAAGUUAGGGGUACAGCAUUACCGAUAGUGUGAGGCCAUGUUUAUAGGCUGUAGCUCAGGUGCCUGGGGCAGUGACCACCUAGGAUGUUAAUUGCUAGUAUGAGCUCCUAACCUGGGAGCACACAAACAUCCUCUAGAGAUUUUUAAAGGAAAACUGAUGAAUUAGCCCCGCUUUGAUGGAAUCCCUGGUGGGAUGAGAGACUAGCUAGCAUGCUUCCCAAGAUCUUCUCCAGGUUUCAAACACUCCCCGCUCUCUGAACACUGUGCACAGCAGAGGAGACGGGAGAGUACUGUUGUCACUAGUUCAUAUCUUGGAGCAGCUAAUGGCAAAGCUGGGGCUAGAAUUCAGGAGUCCUGACAUUUGGCAUCUCUCCACAGCCUGCUGCCUUGUGAGAUGCCGAGCUAGACAAUCAGUGUGCAUGGUGCUGCACACUUCUAAAGCACAGGCUCUGGCAGGCCUGGCCAGGGAGGGCUUGGAUGUUUGGUAAUGGCAGUGUAGCUGGACAAGCCUUUAGUAGAACUCCGCUCUGAAGAGAACUUAGCACUGUUCUUCUAGACCUCAGGCACACAUAGAGAUCUGCACUUUGUAGUUGAAGAAUACCAGCUUGAGUUGUUUAAAAACAAGAAGGAAAAAAAAAAACAAACUAGUCCUACACUCUUUUUUGUUCAAAAAGCAAUGUGUUGUUCAGUGUCAUUUUAAUGCAUGUGAGGUAGUGUAUCUGAAAGCACCUUGAGAAAUCAAAUGCAUUCACUGUAAAGCUGAAUUGCGAAUGUGUGUAGAGGAUGAGCUGACCUGGACCUGGAGCUAGAGGCUCACCCUCUGCUGUGGUUUGUUGCAGACAUAGGUCCGACACUGCUAAAUGUGCAUGGGAAGACACGGCGCUGUUUGCUAACAGUUUAGAGCUGAGCAGCUUCAGGAAAUUAGGGGCCAAGUCUUUGGUUUAAUUCUCAUCUUUAAGAAGUAGUCAAGUGGUGGCGUGCAAUCCAGCAGUGAAGAGGCUAAGGCAAGAGAGUCUCAGGUUCUAGACCAGCCUCGGCCUCAGGAGAUGCAAAGGAGGAAUAGAUUACUCCCGGUGGAGCCAGCAGCUUUUCCAGGCCCUUGACUGGAAGAUGAAGACCCCCUUCCUCUUGAGCAGUCCUCUGCUACAUGCUCGGCUUUUGGUGUGGUAGGAGCAGACUCAUCUCCUGUUUAUGUUGACACUUUCUUUUAAAAACUAAUGUCUUGGGGUGGGGGGAAAGUUGGGGGUAGAAGACUGAUGUACUUGGAGAAUUUCUAGAAUUUUCUCCCAGUUAUAAAUGACAGUGACUCCUUUAAAAGAAGAGUAGCUGAGCUUAACUCACCUGUUAGAUUAUCAUGUAUUCCAAAAAAUCAUGUGGAGGUGGCCUGCGUAGAGCGGCACUCUAGUCUCUUCCCCUGCCCCGCCUUUUCUACCUUUGCUAGUGAUGCCCUGUUCAUUGGGCUGUAUCUUCAGGGGAGUUGGUAUUGGGUUGACAGAGUCAUCUUUAUUUCUGUUCUCAAUGAUCUGUGUCAUCACCUUGCAUGCAUUAACUUGCUUCAUUUGAAUCUGACAUACAUCUUUAUGCCCUCAGCAUCUGCUAUGGCCAGUACUUUCUGUAUUUCUUGUCAGCUGCUUUAGCUUGGUCAAGCCUGGUAGCUUAGUUCUUUGGAUUUUGUAGGCAUGCAGAGGCCUAGAGCAAGGCAGUUCCUAGGGAACCUGUGCUCAGACUGCCGGAGGCAGCCUAAGGGUGCCUAUGGCUCCCAUGCUGCCGUCACCUCUGAGGCAGAGAGGCGAGACCUUGGGAUGGUCCUAACACUUGGUCUACUCCUAAGUCUUAUGCAUAGAGUUCCAGUUUUCCAGCUUAGGACUCAGGAGUGCUUGGAGUGGUGGUUGUUCCUGUUACCUGUGCUGAUGAGCCCAGCACAGUGACCCAACUUCAGUGCUGUUGCCUGUGAUCCUGUUACUACGGAGGCUGGCUCAGCUCACCCUGCUCCACUGCCAUGUGUUUGUGUUCCAUCUUGACUAGGUAAUGAUAACUCUUCUUUUAGACUAGCUCCCCAGGUGCCUCAGGAGGACCCUGGAUGGAGUCUGGGCAGUUUAUCUUGAUAAGAAACUGACAGAAGCCUUGAUUAGAAACUGACAGAAGCCGUUUAAUCCCAGCACUUGGGAGGCAGAGGCAGAGGCAGGUGGAUUUCUGAGUUCGAGGCCAGCCUGGUCUACAGAAUGAGUUCCAGGACAGCCAGGGCUACACAGAGAAACCCUGUCUCGGGGGGG
rnacentral:lncRNA from 1 species